rnacentral:rRNA from 1 species
AGAGUUUGAUCCUGGCUCAGAAUGAACGCUGGCGGAGUGCUUAAUACAUGCAAGUCGUGCGAGAAAGUUUUCUUCGGAAAAUGAGUAGAGCGGCGAACGGGUGAGUAACACGUAAAUAACCUGCCCUAAAGUUCGGGACAACAUUGCUAACGCGAUGCUAAUACCGGAUGUGGAAUAUUUAACUCAUGUUAGAUAUUUUAAAGAUGACCUCUUCUUGAAAGUUAUUGCUUUAGGAUGGAUUUGCGCACUAUUAGUUUGUUGGUGAGGUAAUGGCUCACCAAGACGAUGAUAGUUAGCCGACCUGAGAGGGUGAUCGGCCACAUUGGGACUGAGACACGGCCCAGACUCCUACGGGAGGCAGCAGUAGGGAAUCUUGCGCAAUGGACGAAAGUCUGACGCAGCAACUCCGCGUGAGGGAAGACGGGCUUCGGUUUGUAAACCUCUUUUAUUUAGGAAGAAACUUUUCAGUGCUAAUCAGCUGGAAAUUGACGGUACUAUUUGAAUAAGCGACGGCUAAAUACGUGCCAGCAGCCGCGGUAAUACGUAUGUCGCAAGCGUUAUUCGGAAUCACUGGGCGUAAAGAGUUCGUAGGCGGACUUUCAAGUCAGAAGUGAAAUUUUGGGGCUUAACCCCGAAACUGCUUUUGAAACUGAUUGUCUUGAGUAUGUGAGAGGAAGAUGGAAUUCCUGGUGUAGCGGUGGAAUGCGUAGAUAUCAGGAAGAACACCGGUGGCGAAGGCGGUCUUCUGGCACAAUACUGACGCUGAGGAACGAAAGCGUGGGGAGCGAACAGGAUUAGAUACCCUGGUAGUCCACGCCGUAAACGAUGGACACUAGUUGUUCGGGGGCUUGACCCCUGAGUGGCAAAGCUAACGUGUUAAGUGUCCCGCCUGGGGAGUACGUCCGCAAGGAUGAAACCCAAAGGAAUUGACGGGGGCCCGCACAAGCGGUGGAGCAUGUGCUUUAAUUCGAUGCAACGCGAAGAACCUUACCUGGUCUUGACAUACCACUGACCGUCCUAGAGAUAGGAUUUUCUUUUCGGAGACAGUGGAUACAGGUGCUGCAUGGUUGUCGUCAGCUCGUGUCGUGAGAUGUUGGGUUAAGUCCCGCAACGAGCGCAACCCUUGUCCUUAGUUGCUAGCAGGUAAUGCUGAGAACUCUAAGGAGACUGCCCUCGCAAGGGGGAGGAAGGUGAGGAUGACGUCAAAUCAUCAUGGCCCUUACGACCAGGGCUAGACACGUGCUACAAUGGCCGGUACAAUGGGUUGCUACUUAGUGAUAAGAUGCUAAUCUCAAAAAACCGGUUUCAGUUCGGAUAGGAGUCUGCAACUCGACUCCUUGAAGUUGGAAUCGCUAGUAAUCGUGGGUCAGCAUACCACGGUGAAUACGUUCCCGGGCCUUGUACACACCGCCCGUCAAGCCACGGAAGUCGGUCGCGCCCAACAUUGUGUUCUUAACCUUCUGGGUGGAAGCAACUAAGGCGAGUCUGGUAACUGGGGCUAAGUCGUAACAAGGUA